rnacentral:rRNA from 1 species
AAUCAACGCUGGCGGCGUGCCUCAGACAUGCAAGUCGAACGAUUAAAGCUCUCUUCGGAGAGUGUAUAGAGUGGCGCACGGGUGAGUAACACGUAAGUAAUCUACCUUCGAGUGGGAAGUAACGUCCGGAACGGACGCUAAUACCGCAUAAUGCAGCGGCAUCGCAAGAUGACAGUUGUUAAAGAUUUAUCGCUUGAAGAGGAGCUUGCGGCAGAUUAGCUAGUUGGUAAGGUAACGGCUUACCAAGGCUACGAUCUGUAUCCGGUCUAAGAGGACGGUCGGACACACUGACACUGAAUAACGGGUCAGACUCCUACGGGAGGCAGCAGUCGGGAA